rnacentral:misc_RNA from 1 species
GGAGGCUGUAAAGAUUGGUCUUGAAACUAAAAACUUAGUUGCUUGCAUGAGCUUCUUGUUGGAAGAGAAAUUGGUCAAAACAUGGCUUGCUGAUAAGGAUGCCGAAGCUUUAAGGUGUCAAAAAUUGCUGGUAGAGGAGGAAGAAGCUGCUCAAAGGAGACAAGCGGAGCUGUUGGAGAGAAAAAGGCAGAAGAAGCUAAGGCAGAAAGAA